rnacentral:rRNA from 1 species
AGGACGAACGCUGGCGGCGUGCCUAACACAUGCAAGUCGAGCGAGGAGAUCCUUCGGGAUGAUCCUAGCGGCGGACGGGUGAGUAACACGUGGGCAACCUGCCUCAUAGAGAGGAAUAGCCUUCCGAAAGGGAGAUUAAUACCUCAUAACAUUGCAGUUUCGCAUGGAACAGCAAUUAAAGGAGUAAUCCGCUAUGAGAUGGGCCCGCGGCGCAUUAGCUAGUUGGUGAGGUAACGGCUCACCAAGGCGACGAUGCGUAGCCGACCUGAGAGGGUGAUCGGCCACAUUGGGACUGAGACACGGCCCAGACUCCUACGGGAGGCAGCAGUGGGGAAUAUUGCACAAUGGGGGAAACCCUGAUGCAAGCAACGCCGCGUGAGUGAUGACGGCCUUCGGGUUGUAAAGCUCUGUCUUCAGGGACGAUAAUGACGGUACCUGGGGAGGAAGCCACGGCUAACUACGUGCCAGCAGCAGC